CCUACGGGUGGCAGCAGUGGGGAAUAUUGCACAAUGGGGGAAACCCUGAUGCAGCGACGCCGCGUGAGCGAAGAAGUAUUUCGGUAUGUAAAGCUCUAUCAGCAGGGAAGAAAAUGACGGUACCUGAGUAAGAAGCUCCGGCUAAAUACGUGCCAGCAGCCGCGAUAAUACGGAGGGAGCAAGCGUUAUCCGGAUUUACUGGGCGUAAAGGGGGCGUAGGCGGCCUGCCAAGUCUGAUGUGAAAUGACGGGGCUUAACUCGGGGGCUGCAUUGGAAACUGGCAGGCUGGAGUGUAGGAGAGGCAGGCGGAAUGUAUAGUGUAGCGGUGAAAUGCGUAGAGAUUAGGAGGAACACCAGUGGCGAAGGCGGCCUGCUGGACGGUGACUGACGCUGAGGCUCGAAAGCGUGGGGAGCAAACAGGAUUAGAUACCCUUGUAGUC
rnacentral:rRNA from 1 species